UGGGGAAUAUUGGACAAUGGGCGAAAGCCUGAUCCAGCCAUGCCGCGUGUGUGAAGAAGGUCUUCGGAUUGUAAAGCACUUUAAGUUGGGAGGAAGGGCAGUAAGCGAAUACCUUGCUGUUUUGACGUUACCGACAGAAUAAGCACCGGCUAACUCUGUGCCAGCAGCCGCGGUAAUACAGAGGGUGCAAGCGUUAAUCGGAAUUACUGGGCGUAAAGCGCGCGUAGGUGGUUCGUUAAGUUGAAUGUGAAAGCCCCGGGCUCAACCUGGGAACUGCAUCCAAAACUGGCGGGCUAGAGUAGGGCAGAGGGGGGUGGAAUUUCCUGUGUAGCGGUGAAAUGCGUAGAUAUAGGAAGGAACACAAGUGGCGAAGGCGACCACCUGGGCUCAGACUGACACUGAGGUGCGAAAGCGUGGGGAGCAAACAGG
rnacentral:rRNA from 1 species